rnacentral:lncRNA from 10 species
CCGACCCGGUCUCAGUCCGGAGUUCCCGCCUCUCGGGGGGACUGGGCAUGCGCGCCGCCCCCGCGCAUGCCCAGCGCGCCGCUAGGCUCUGCUCGCGUAAUUUGUCCUGUAGUGACCGCGCCGGGGUUUCGGGGUGGCCCGAGGCUGCGCGCGGGCGUGGCGGCCGGACGAGGAAAGCCCUGGUCUCGGGGGUGGCCGGGGUCGCCCCGCCGAGCGGACAUCCUGGGGUCCCACCUGCCUCGCUCUCCGCCAGCGGGAUUAGACGGACUUCGGGAAAGUCCUCCCCAUCUCCUUCCCUGCCCCCAAAUCCCGAAGGGGUCCCCUCUGGAGAACCUCCCUCCUGAGCGGCCCUGCGGCCCCGCCCCCAGAGUUGGACGCCCGCUGUCGGGCACCCGCUGCGGGCCCCGGGCCUUGCAGUGCACUCUCCAGGCACCACACCGACCCUAACGAGCGGUUCCUGGGCCCUUUUUGCAGACAAGGAAACUGAGGCUCAGAGAUUCUUUUCAUGGCAUUAUAGCUAAGUUGGGCUGGGCCAUUAUUUGAUUUUGGAAGAUGAAAAAUCAUGAAAGGGACUUAGAAGUCCACUGGAGGUAGACAGGUUACCUAAAUGAACGCCAGCAGGGAACGAGCCCUGCAAUCCCUCCCGAGGGCUACAGACCUGAGACGGGCUCCAGGAAAAGGAGGGAAGGCUCGCCCCGACACCGACCCGGGCUUCCGCGGUGUGAGCCAGUUUCAGCGAGGAGCUAGUUGGUUAUGACCGGAACGUGCCGUAGCCCAAGCUAGCCUCACGAGGAGGCCGUGUGGAAGAGAACUGAGGCACCCUGGCCAACAAGGUGCCACCUCCAGACAUGUGAGUGAGCUGUACUAGACCACCCAGCCCCUGUGAAGCAUACAUAAGACCUGGAGAGACUGAUGGAAGAACUGCCCAGCUGAAUCCAACCCAAAUUGCCAAACCACAGAAUUGUGAGCCAAUAAAAUACAUGUGGUUUUAAGCCUUUAGGUUUUAGGGUAGUGUGUUACACAAUAUUGUUUCCUGGACUCUGCCACGAUACAUUUGAAAUUGACGUUCUUGAAGGGCAGCUUUGGUUAUUAUUAUGCUUAGUAAAAGAAGAAAUCAGAAAACGGCGGGAAGAAGUGAUGCAAAGGAGAAGGGCAAACAGAGAUACAAACGGGAAAAGGGACAAACCUAGGAAACAGUGGCUUGUCUUACCUCUUGG